rnacentral:rRNA from 1 species
AUGAACGCUGACAGAAUGCUUAACACAUACAAGUCAACUUGAAUUUGGGUUUUUAACUUAGGUUUGGGUGGCGGACGGGUGAGUAACGCGUAAAGAACUUGCCUCACAGCUAGGGACAACAUUUGGAAACGAAUGCUAAUACCUAAUAUUAUGAUAAUAGGGCAUCCUAUAAUUAUGAAAGCUAUAAGCGCUGUGAGAGAGCUUUGCGUCCCAUUAGCUAGUUGGAGAGGUAACGGCUCACCAAGGCGAUGAUGGGUAGCCGGCCUGAGAGGGUGAUCGGCCACAAGGGGACUGAGACACGGCCCUUACUCCUACGGGAGGCAGCAGUGGGGAAUAUUGGACAAUGGACCGAGAGUCUGAUCCAGCAAUUCUGUGUGCACGAUGAAGUUUUUCGGAAUGUAAAGUGCUUUCAGUUGGGAAGAAACAAAUGACGGUACCAACAGAAGAAGUGACGGCUAAAUACGUG